CAGGGACCUAUUAAUUAGUGGAGGAGACUCGAAACCCCAACAGCUGGGCCCUGCACCAGCAGCCCUUGGAUAGGGGAGCUGAGAGACGCCAGGGGGCUGUGGGACCAGUGGGGGAAGGGUCAGCUGGACAGAGCCUCUCCCAUCCUAUGCCACUCCCUCAGCCCACCCCAUCCUGAGCUCUUCCUCCCCUGCCCAGGAGGGCAGAGGGAAGCUCUGGAUCGCCAAGCUCAGGGUUAAAGGGCUCAUUAGAGGGGUGGGAAGGGGGCGGUGUUCAGAGGCUUCUUGGACAUCAAACAGCUCUUGCAAAACUUCUAGAUGAGUUAAGUGCAAAUGAAUUUGAAACAGACAAUAAAGUUCCCUUUAGAGACACCUGGGCAGAAAAAAAAGAAGGGAAAAGCGCCCCAGGGAGAGCUCAUUUGGGGAUUUUUUUUUCCUGAACCCAAAACACACAGGGAAAAACAAACCCACCCGUCUACACUGGGUGCCAGAGAUGGGCCCGGCGCGCCCUGACUCAGUGCUGGGCUGGCAGCGAGCUGGGCACACACGUGAGGCCCAGGCACACGCAUGCGAGUAGAGAGCUACAACACAAGUGCGUGUGCAGAGCCGGAAGUGCUGGAAGGGAGUGCCACAGGUCUGAGGCUCUGGGCAGUUCCUCCCAUCGGAUGCUGACUUUGAUGGGGCAGAAGGAGUUCUUUCCGUCCCAUCCACCCCAACCCCAGGCCCGCAAACAGGUCAGGGGAGCAGCCUCACAGCCCCAAACCCACCCAAAGGGACGAGGCAAUGCAGACCAGAAGAAAAAAAAAGCGCUCACUGGGGGUCUGGAGCUGGAGUCUGACCCCAGAUAUGGAAAUAAGACUCAGAGAAGGAGAGGUGGGCUGGGACGAGAGCCCUCGGACCUGACCCCAUCCCUAGUGCUGACUGGGUCCUCCUGCCCCUCCGUCCUUUCUGGGCUGUGAAGCAGCAGGGUGUCACUCCCCUUGCGGCCUUCCCUCCCCCGCUCCAGCUCCUGUCCUGGCAUCUUUAUCCAAUGUGGAAAGCUUCUCCUAGAAUGCCAGGUGUCCACUCCCUCCAGCUGCCUGCCCCAUCUGUUCUAGGGUGGCCCCAGAGACAUCACUGUCCUAGGGUGGCAUUCACUGUCAGUCUAACACUUGGAUUUUCCUUGGCAUCAGGUCAGAGGUCCAGCUCU
rnacentral:lncRNA from 1 species